GCCGGUGUGGCUCAGUGGCUGAGUGUCGACCUAGGAACCAGGAGGUCAUGGUUCAAUUCCCUGUCAGGGCU